rnacentral:rRNA from 1 species
GAUGAACGCUGGCGGCGUGCCUAAUACAUGCAAGUCGAGCGAACGGACGAGAAGCUUGCUUCUCUGAUGCUAGCGGCGGACGGGUGAGUAACACGUGGAUAACCUACCUAUAAGACUGGGAUAACUUCGGGAAACCGGAGCUAAUACCGGAUGAUAUUUUGAACCGCAUGGUUCAAAAGUGAAAGACGGUCUUGCUGUCACUUAUAGAUGGAUCCGCGCUGCAUUAGCUAGUUGGUAAGGUAACGGCUUACCAAGGCAACGAUGCAUAGCCGACCUGAGAGGGUGAUCGGCCACACUGGAACUGAGACACGGUCCAGACUCCUACGGGAGGCAGCAGUAGGGAAUCUUCCGCAAUGGGCGAAAGCCUGACGGAGCAACGCCGCGUGAGUGAUGAAGGUCUUCGGAUCGUAAAACCCUGUUAUUAGGGAAGAACAUAUGUGUAAGUAACUGUGCACAUCUUGACGGUACCUAAUCAGAAAGCCACGGCUAACUACGUG